UACGGAGGGUGCAAGCGUUAUCCGGAUUCACUGGGUUUAAAGGGUGCGUAGGUGGGCAGGUAAGUCAGUGGUGAAAUCUCCGGGCUUAACCCGGAAACUGCCAUUGAUACUAUCUGUCUUGAAUACCGUGGAGGUGAGCGGAAUAUGUCAUGUAGCGGUGAAAUGCUUAGAUAUGACAUAGAACACCAAUUGCGAAGGCAGCUUACUACACAAUGAUUGACGCUGAGGCACGAAAGCGUGGGGAUCAAACAGG
rnacentral:rRNA from 1 species